rnacentral:misc_RNA from 1 species
UAAAAGUCGUAACAAGGUUUCCGUAGGUGAACCUGCGGAAGGAUCAUUAAAAAAUUGUGGUACCAAUUAUUGGUACUAAUAAUCAUCCUACCCUUUGUGAAUUUGUUUGUAUGAAUUUUUUUAAAUGGUCUUUCCCUAAGUUGGAUUGUAGUAAAAUACAAAAGACUUAGGGGAUGACUUUUUUAAAAGACUUUUUUUUAAAUUAAACUUUUGUAUUCAUUUGUCUAAAAUUUAUUUUUAUAAUAUAAAAACAACUUUUGACAAUGGAUCUCUUGGUUCUCGCAACGAUGAAGAACGCAGCAAAAUGCGAUAAGUAGUGUGAAUUGCAGAAUACGUGAAUCAUCGAAUCUUCGAACGCAUAUUGCACUUUUUUAGUUUACUAAAAAAGUAUGUCUGUUUGAGUAUCAGUAAAAUAUUCUCACAAACAUAUAUUGUUUGUGGUUAUGAGUGUUUUACAACGAUAAACAAGUUGUUUCACUUUAAAUUCUUUUUGAAGAAUUUUACUACAAUUCAAAUUAAAAUUGGAUAAAAUUUUCCUUUAACGAGGAAUAACCUAAACAAUUUUAAAAUUUUAUGGAUUUGUAAAUCAUAAAGGAAUCUAUAUAUAAAUAACUUGAUCUCAAAUCAGAUAAGAGUACCCGCUGAACUUAAGCAUAUCAAUAAGCGGAGGAAAAGAAACUAACAAGGAUUCCCUUAGUAACGGCGAGUGAAGCGGGAAGAGCUCAAAUUUGAAAUCUUCAAGGUUUGACCUUGACGAAUUGUAGUUUAUAGAAGUGUUUUCUGUUGGAGUUUUGGUAAAAGUUCUUUGGAAUAGGACAUCAUAGAGGGUGAGAAUCCCGUAUUUGACCAUGACUUUCCAGCUGUGUGAUACACUUUCAAAGAGUCGGAUUGUUUGGGAAUGCAGUCCAAAAUGGGUGGUAAAUUUCAUCUAAAGCUAAAUAUUGGCGAGAGACCGAUAGCGAACAAGUACCGUGAGGGAAAGAUGAAAAGACUUUGAAAAGAGAGUUAAACAGUACGUGAAAUUGUCAAAAGGGAAGCGUUUGACACCAGUGUUGUUUUCUCGAAAAUCAAUUUAAUGAGUUCUUGUUUUAAGUUAUUGUGACUUUAUCAGCGCAUUCUUAUUUUACUUGACUCAUUGAAUGCACUUUUCGUUUAACAAGUCAACAUCAAUUUCUUUGGUGGUAAAAAGUUUAAAGGAAGGUGGCUUGGACUUCGGUUCAAGUGUUUAUAGCCUUUUUCUAUGCCAUCGGAGAGAUUGAGGUCUGCAGCGUAGAUCCUUCGGGGUUAGAUACCUUUGUGCUAAGUUAUAGUUUUUUAUAGACAACUUGUUGACUAUAAUUAACCCUGUAAUUUACUCGCUUAGGCUAUUUUACCUAC